rnacentral:rRNA from 1 species
UUGACCUCGGAUCAGGUAGGAAUACCCGCUGAACUUAAGCAUAUCAAUAAGCGGAGGAAAAGAAACCAACAGGGAUUGCCUCAGUAACGGCGAGUGAAGCGGCAAAAGCUCAAAUUUGAAAUCUGGCUCCUUUGGGGCCCGAGUUGUAAUUUGCAGAGGAUGCUUCGGGCGUGGCCGCGGUCUAAGUCCCCUGGAACGGGGCGUCGCAGAGGGUGAGAAUCCCGUCUUCGGCCGGCCGGCUUCGCCCAUGUGAAGCUCCUUCGACGAGUCGAGUUGUUUGGGAAUGCAGCUCUAAAUGGGUGGUAAAUUUCAUCUAAAGCUAAAUAUUGGUCGGAGACCGAUAGCGCACAAGUAGAGUGAUCGAAAGAUGAAAAGCACUUUGAAAAGAGAGUUAAACAGCAUGUGAAAUUGUUGAAAGGGAAGCGCUUGCGACCAGAGUCGGCCGUGGGGGUUCAGCGGGCAUUCGUUGCCCGUGCACUCCCCCACGGGCGGGCCAGCGUCGGUUUCGACGGCCGGUCAAAGGCCCCCGGAAUGUGUCGCCUCUCGGGGCGUCUUAUAGCCGGGGGUGCAAUGCGGCCAGUCGGGACCGAGGAACGCGCUUCGGCACGGACGCUGGCUUAAUGGUCGUAAGCGACC